CUACGUGCCAGCAGCCGCGGUAAUACGGAGGGUGCGAGCGUUAAUCGGAAUAACUGGGCGUAAAGGGCACGCAGGCGGUGACUUAAGUGAGGUGUGAAAGCCCCGGGCUUAACCUGGGAAUUGCAUUUCAUACUGGGUCGCUAGAGUACUUUAGGGAGGGGUAGAAUUCCACGUGUAGCGGUGAAAUGCGUAGAGAUGUGGAGGAAUACCGAAGGCGAAGGCAGCCCCUUGGGAAUGUACUGACGCUCAUGUGCGAAAGCGUGGGGAGCAAACAGGAUUAGAUACCCUGGUAGUCCACGCUGUAAACGCUGUCGAUUUGGGGAUUGGGCCUUGAGCUUGGUGCCCGAAGCUAACGUGAUAAAUCGACCGCCUGGGGAGUACGGCCGCAAGGUUAAAACUCAAAUGAAUUGACGGGGGCCCGCACAAGCGGUGGAGCAUGUGGUUUAAUUCGAUGCAACGCGAAGAACCUUACCUACUCUUGACAUCCAUGGAAUCUUGUAGAGAUAKAGAG
rnacentral:rRNA from 1 species